AACCGAAUGGGCCGAGAGGUGAG
rnacentral:siRNA from 1 species